CCUUGUAUAAAAGAUUGUGAUAACACUGGAGACUUGGAUAAACCUUACUCACAUGUGUCUGACAUAAAAAAAAAAAAUAAAAGUAUAAGAAUUUGGCUGGAAGAAAAAAAAAAAAAAAGCGCCAGUAAAUAUAUAGAACAAUAGAAGUUUUUUUUUUUUUUUUUUUUGAAGUUUAAUACAUAUGAAAUAAAAGUUACACUCUUCAUAUUAACCCGUUCUGGAUUUGGGUCUGUUGCUAUGACGAUGUCCUGUGAAAACGCUGUAAAACUGUGCGAGCGAGUAGCUGAAGGAGUGUGUCUGUGUGUGAGAGAGAGAAUCCAGUUGGACAGCUCGCGCUCUUUUUCUCACCCUCUCUCUCCAUUUCAAAAAAAGUAUCCAAAGAAUGUCCACUUUUCUGAAGAGUCCCUGUAUGGUGGAAUGCUAAUUACAGAGCUGAUUUACCAGAAGAAAAAAAAGAAAAGAAAAGAAGAAAAAAAAAAAAGCAGGGUUCAGAGAGCUCGUUUACAGCCGGAAAACCAAAUAAGGGUUGUUUGGGUCCGAACGACUGGCUUUGCUUUCUGGAUCGAAGAUAUGGUGCGUUAAUACAAUGUUGUGGAAACAUGGACACAGCAGCCAUGUCGAAAGAACGCUACGCUCCCACGGAGACGCAACCUCACCCCAUUUCAGCCCAUGAACAAGCUCGGCGAGAGCGAGAGAGGUGGACGUGCUCACGUGUAUCUACACUUUCUAAUGGAAACGGUGCAGUGAGGAACUUUGGACUUUGAAAAGGCCACAAACGUCAAAGAGGGCGCUGGGCCCUCAGAGCUGAGACCAAAACAGCACCGCGGUGAUGAACCGCGAGCGUUCCGAGGACAAUCCGGGAAUUGUAUUGUAGUCCUUUUGUGUGAAAAUACAAGGAGGCUUAACACAACCCAUAACAGGAAAAUAAAGAGAAAUAGGCAAGGGUCAAAACUAGUUAGUACAAAGAUAUACAGAACUUGGAAAACCCCGGGCUUGGACUUAAUGAUACAGAAAGCGUGAUAAGACUUCACUACAAAACACAGAAACACCCAGGUUUAAGUAAACAAACAAAAUCAGUGAGUAACACAGAACAGGCGAACACAAUCAGGCAACAAACCAAUGACAGGGUGCAGACAGGACAAGCCCGAAAACCAAAACAUAAGCACAUGGUAUUAGUUUUAUUGGAUUUUAAAAGGUCUUAAGAUCUUCCAACAUCUCGGAAUCCCUGGCAACUUAGAUUUGUCCCCCCCAACUUAGAUUUGUUGUAGAUGUAUUUUUUUUUUUUUUAAUUAUUAUUUUAUUACGUCAUGUCUCCUGUGUAGUGUUUACGCUUGGGAGAGAGGAAUGUGACCUUGCGUUUUAGCAAAACAAAUCAACCAACAAGCCAAAAUAAGGUAAUUUCCUGCGACUACGGUAAGAAAGGAAGAAGAUGAACACCGUCGGUAAAGCGCUUUAAAAAUGUCUGCCGAUUCAUCGGGUUAUCUCCGAAUACUGUACAGACUGCAGGGUGUGGGGACUUUUAGGGAUACACAUCAGUAGACGUAUGGUAUGGAAGCAAGAACGAGAAGGACCUGAGCUUUUUGUUUGUCUCUUAAAGCUGGACGUUGUUUAACAGAUUGCCGGCUGGCUGGAGUGAUAAUGAGAGAGAUCAGCGUUUGUGGUGUCCCCAGUCCGUCUGUGUAGGAGGAGCCGGCGAGAUUCUGUUCUCGGUAAACAGCUUGGACCGUUGCUCAAGCUUCAGCUGAGUCAGAACCCCUGUGUUGGAGAUUACAGCACAUCCGGACAGCGCUAUCUCGCCACGGCAGCUCAGCGCUGGACAAGAUACUGGAUCUGCGCUCGAACAUUUCCUGCAAUAAAGCUCACCUGCAGGUCAUAUAGUGUGAGAAGUUACUGAAGCGGGGUGAAGAAAUACAUUUACUAGCCAAGACUAACAGUACACCUGGGUGACUAGGAACAGGAGAUCGUUCAACCGUGACUUCCUGUUUCACGGGGGUUCAAAUGAGGUAACACACACGCCAAAUUCCCUUAGUCAUUCAUCACAAUGGGUAAGACCGAGGCAUACAGCUGUGAUGUGCGGCAAAAGGUUGUUGAGCUCAACAAUGUAGGGGUCUAGAUAUAGCGCAACACAAAAAUGUGUUUAAGUUACACCGUUUUAGUCUUUCACGCUUAUCCUGAAGUCGAACCUGGCAUUUGUAUUUGUUCUGAACGGUUUCAGGCAAUAAUCCCCUAACUCGCAGCCAACAUCUUGACUGAAUAUUGACGUGCAUGCGAAAUACCGUUGGCGUAGCGCGACACAUCAGCCAUGCUUCCAUCCGAACAGCUUGC
ensembl:lncRNA